UUGUACUCGUUUACACAAGUUUCGAAAAUGAGACAAAGUUUAAGAUUACAAAGAAAACGGAACGGAACGUUUCGUUUUUGGAAAAUGCACUUGGCUGCACGAAAAAUAGCAGAACUAAUAAAAUUACAAACAUGUGGUCGUAUCAAUUUCUGGUGUCGCGGUUCUGCAUGCUCUCCUGACUCCACUCCAUGCUGUUCAGCUGCAGGCCCCCUGUAGAUGCAAUGCAAUUCAUUUGUACUGCAACCUUGAAGCCAAGCUGCAGAUUUGAGGCCUGAUCCAGCCAUCCUAUGACCAAAAGAUAUGCCAGUUUUGCUUGUGUUGAUGAUUGACCUGUCACCAUUAACAACAAUCUCAGUAUCACUUGGAUAAACGGCAUCCUGUUUCAUUGGAAAAUUCCCGAUGUCGGUAUAGUUCCCCUUUCUAUAAAUUCACUCUGCCCUCGUGUACACCCAUGUGAAAGGGGUAUAUUCACAAGGACCCCAUUGCCUAAUUCCUGUCUGCGUAUUCAACUUUUCUACGAAUGGAGCACUUGUGAAUGUCUGUCCGUAUUUCCCAGGCUUGAAGACGAAAGCCGCGCAGCAUGAAUAAAAUGGAAAGACAAAAUUACCAUAUCAUUCUGCAGACGUUGUUCUUGUCCAGCAAGUGUCCAGUGGGACACUGCCGACUUGGGGCUACCGCCACUUGCUUCCUGUUGUAACGCGGCGUAGUUGUUUGCUGGUGUUUCACGAAAAUCGGCUGCCGGUUUGAUUCGCCGGGCUCAAUCAGAAAACAAAAAGCGAUCGUCAAAGAGCAAAUCAACAAAAUUCGCCACUGCAUGCUGCUUUUUUUCGAAAGAAGAAUCGUCGUCGAGGAUGUUGGCUUGACCAAGGAGGAAACUAGAGUGAAUCUUCAAUAUUUUUUUUCAACUGUCUAACCGUGUGCACAGUCAGACUGACGUUCGUUCGCGCGCAUGCCGGAGACGGCCAAUGCUUGACGAACAUGUAGCCAUCUUUGGGCGCGCAGACAACUUGAGCCAUCUAGUGCGAAAUCUAGCGCAGAAACCCUACAGGUAAAUUAAAAGGCAACUAGACAUGUAAUAAGCGGUAAAAACGUCUUCAACAACCUUCCCGGUAUCCCAUGAAAUCGAAAAGAAAAUGUUUA